GACGAACGCUGGCGGCGUGCUUAACACAUGCAAGUCGAACGAGAGCGUAGAGAAAGCUUGCUUUUUCUACAAUCUAGUGGCAAACGGGUGAGUAACGCGUAAACAACCUGCCCUACGGAUGGGGACAACAGCUGGAAACGGCUGCUAAUACCGAAUACGUUCCGAAAGUCGCAUGACUAUCGGAAGAAAGGAUGGCCUCUAUUUAUAAGCUAUCGCCGGAGGAGGGGUUUGCGUCUGAUUAGCUAGUUGGAGGGGUAACGGCCCACCAAGGCGACGAUCAGUAGCCGGUCUGAGAGGAGGAACGGCCAAAGUGGAAAUGAGACACGGGCCAGACUCCUACGGGAGGCAGCAGUGGGGAAUCUUCCGCAAUGGGCGAAAGCCUGGCGGAGCAACGCCGCGUGAGUGAAGACGGCCUUCGGGUUGUAAAGCUCUGUUAUACGGGACGAAUAAUCUUGUGGUUAAUACCCAUGAGAAGUGACGGUACCGUAAGAGAAAGCCACGGCUAACUACGUG
rnacentral:rRNA from 1 species